UACGAAGGGGGCUAGCGUUGCUCGGAAUCACUGGGCGUAAAGCGCACGUAGGCGGCUUCUUAAGUCAGGGGUGAAAUCCUGGAGCUCAACUCCAGAACUGCCUUUGAUACUGAGGAGCUCGAGUCCGGGAGAGGUGAGUGGAACUCCGAGUGUAGAGGUGAAAUUCGUAGAUAUUCGGAAGAACACCAGUGGCGAAGGCGGCUCACUGGCCCGGUACUGACGCUGAGGUGCGAAAGCGUGGGGAGCAACAGGG
rnacentral:rRNA from 1 species